GCCUGCCUGGCUUAGUCGGUAGAUCGUCUGACUCUUGAUCUUGAGGUUGUGAGUUCGAGUCUCACGUUGGGUG
rnacentral:tRNA from 1 species